rnacentral:rRNA from 1 species
ACGAACGCUGGCGGCGUGCUUAACACAUGCAAGUCGAACGGAAAGGCCCUUCGGGGUACUCGAGUGGCGAACGGGUGAGUAACACGUGGGUGAUCUGCCCCGCACUUUGGGAUAAGCCUGGGAAACUGGGUCUAAUACCGAAUAUGACCGCGCUCUUCAUGGGGUGUGGUGGAAAGCUUUUGCGGUGUGGGAUGAGCCCGCGGCCUAUCAGCUUGUUGGUGGGGUAAUGGCCUACCAAGGCGACGACGGGUAGCCGGCCUGAGAGGGUGACCGGCCACACUGGGACUGAGAUACGGCCCAGACUCCUACGGGAGGCAGCAGUGGGGAAUAUUGCACAAUGGGCGCAAGCCUGAUGCAGCGACGCCGCGUGAGGGAUGACGGCCUUCGGGUUGUAAACCUCUUUCAGCACAGACGAAGCGCAAGUGACGGUAUGUGCAGAAGAAGGACCGGCCAACUACG